CCUGCCGGCGACCGGCGCACGGGUGAGUAACACGUAUGCAACCUGGCCGUCACAGGGGGAUAACCGGUAGAAAUGCCGCCUAAUACCCCAUGACACCCUUUAGGGACAUCCCUGGGGGGUCAAAGGGAGCGAUCCCGGUGGUGGAUGGGCAUGCGGCGCAUUAGCUAGUCGGCGGGGUAACGGCCCACCGAGGCGACGAUGCGUAGGGGUUCUGAGAGGAAGGUCCCCCACAUUGGAACUGAGACACGGUCCAAACUCCUACGGGAGGCAGCAG
rnacentral:rRNA from 1 species